rnacentral:misc_RNA from 1 species
GUAUGGUUUAUCCUCAACCGAUCAUCUCUAUAAUGUGCCUUGGGGAAAAAGAAUGGAUGAUGAGGUUGGUGCUUUUCAAUGUGCAUUGGUUCUGAAUCCAGAGCAAAUUCUCUAGGUACUGCUCGGUUCAGUUGCCUAGGGCUCAUUUCUUCCUCCACUGGAACCCAGCUUCCUCGAGAUUGCACUCGUGGAACUGAAACUUGCUUUGAAGGUCUCACAGGAAAUUGCGAUUCACUUGGAACAUGAUCUCUGCUAUCUUGUCCAUGUUGCAAUAUGAGAAGCCGCCUCCUUGUAUCAGGAUCUAAUUCUGAUUCCGGCACCUCACCCUCUUCUCUAGCUGGAGAACUUUGCAAGCUUGGUUCUGAGGGAC